UCGAGGGGCAGCAUGGUCUUAGCUUGCUAAGUUUGAUGGCGACCGGCGCACGGGUGAGUAACACGUAUCCAACCUGCCGACAACACUGGGAUAGCCUUUCGAAAGAAAGAUUAAUACCGGAUGGCAUAGUUUUCCCGCAUGGUGGAACUAUUAAAGAAUUUCGGUCAUCGAUGGGGAUGCGUUCCAUUAGGUUGUUGGUGAGGUAACGGCUCACCAAGCCUUCGAUGGAUAGGGGUUCUGAGAGGAAGGUCCCCACAUUGGUACUGAGACACGGACCAAACUCC
rnacentral:rRNA from 1 species